CGGCAGCACAGUAAGAGCUUGCUCUUAUGGGUGGCGAGUGGCGGACGGGUGAGGAAUACAUCGGAAUCUACCUUUUCGUGGGGGAUAACGUAGGGAAACUUACGCUAAUACCGCAUACGACCUUCGGGUGAAAGCAGGGGACCUUCGGGCCUUGCGCGGAUAGAUGAGCCGAUGUCGGAUUAGCUAGUUGGCGGGGUAAAGGCCCACCAAGGCGACGAUCCGUAGCUGGUCUGAGAGGAUGAUCAGCCACACUGGAACUGAGACACGGUCCAGACUCCUACGGGAGGCAGCAGUGGGGAAUAUUGGACAAUGGGCGCAAGCCUGAUCCAGCCAUACCGCGUGGGUGAAGAAGGCCUUCGGGUUGUAAAGCCCUCUUGUUGGGAAAGAAAAGCAGUCGGCUAAUACCCGGUUGUUCUGACGGUACCCAAAGAAUAAGCACCGGCUAACUUCGUGCCAGCAGCCGCGGUAAUACGAAGGGUGCAAGCGUUACUCGGAAUUACUGGGCGUAAAGCGUGCGUAGGUGGUUGUUUAAGUCUGUUGUGAAAGCCCUGGGCUCAACCUGGGAAUUGCAGUGGAUACUGGGCGACUAGAGUGUGGUAGAGGGUAGUGGAAUUCCCGGUGUAGCAGUGAAAUGCGUAGAGAUCGGGAGGAACAUCCAUGGCGAAGGCAGCUACCUGGACCAACACUGACACUGAG
rnacentral:rRNA from 1 species